GAUGAACGCUGGCGGCGUGCCUAAUACAUGCAAGUCGAGCGAACGGACGAGAAGCUUGCUUCUCUGAUGUUAGCGGCGGACGGGUGAGUAACACGUGGAUAACCUACCUAUAAGACUGGGAUAACUUCGGGAAACCGGAGCUAAUACCGGAUAAUAUUUUGAACCGCAUGGUUCAAAAGUGAAAGACGGUCUUGCUGUCACUUAUAGAUGGAUCCGCGCUGCAUUAGCUAGUUGGUAAGGUAACGGCUUACCAAGGCAACAAUGCAUAGCCGACCUGAGAGGGUGAUCGGCCACACUGGAACUGAGACACGGUCCAGACUCCUACGGGAGGCAGCAGUAGGGAAUCUUCCGCAAUGGGCGAAAGCCUGACGGAGCAACGCCGCGUGAGUGAUGAAGGUCUUCGGAUCGUAAAACUCUGUUAUUAGGGAAGAACAUAUGUGUAAGUAACUGUGCACAUCUUGACGGUACCUAAUCAGAAAACCACGGCUAACUACGU
rnacentral:rRNA from 1 species